CCGGGUACCUAUGUUGGUGGAGGUAGAAAGUACCCCGUGGAAUUAUUCGAGGUUCGUAAAAGCUGGCCCAACCACAACAGCUAAAAAGAAAGAUGUUAUUCCCAUUACCGAUGUUCGGAUUAAGACUAGAGACCUAAUAGAGUUCGAAAUAUCUUAGCUUUGAGGAUUGAUUUGUAGCUGAUAGUCCAUGAAAAUAUCUUUUGUUCCUUUCAUUCCAGAUACUCCAAAACAAUAGCAGCAGAUAUCAUCUUCUUAAUGGUGCUAUCAACUUUCCAUUUUGUCUCAGUCUAAUUGUGCACAAGCUUAAUAGUAGAGCAUGAAAAUAUUGAGAAAAUUAAGUCCUUGUAGAAAUUGUUAAAAGCAAAUGAAUGUGAUACAUUCAGUUGAAAGGUUUCUGCUUAACCUUUCUAAAAAAUAAACAACAUUUUAUAGCACAAGGAUUUAGAGGGAAUAUCGUGAAGCUUUUAAUGAUUAAUGGUUUCACUUCCAAUCAUAAGAAGGGUAUGGAAAUAAAAAGGGAAAACAAAAAGGGUAGGCAUUGUUAUUCUCAAACUUGAAGAUAGGAUCUUGCAUCCGUUGCAAUCCCUUUGGUGUUGCUUGCUUUCUCUUCUUCUUUCAGGUUUUGUGAUGUGUGAUGUCUGCAUAUGGAGCUUUGUGUCUGUUUCCUACUCCAUCCACAGUUUCACACUUGCCUAAGUGAACUGCAUUUGAAGUGAUUGUCAUUUGCAGAUGAAAUAUACACACAUUUAAUUGCAAAAUUUUAUAUUUAGCCGUGAAAAGUCAUUUUUCGAGUCUCAAUUCCUCUUCCAAAGGGAAGAUAGUAUAGCACGAUAAUUGAUAGUAUAGCAGGAUAAUUGCAUGAGAUAUCAAUUUGUUUUCUGUUAUCCUUUCGUUAAGCUUUCCUGAUUAAUGACGAACACCUUCUCUUAUUGCCAAUUUCCUGUGUAUGACCAUUCAAAACUGCUAUCAUUUGUAAUGAGGCUUUCCUAUGUAACUAUUUUGCAACAGUUUGUUGCUCUUUUAUACAAUACUUAUACCAAUAAAAAAAACUGCCUUCAUUUGUAAUAUUAAUGGCCUUAACUGCUAUGCCUGCUGGGGUUUAUAAAGGAGGAUGUUCCAGCAGAGUUUUCUUCACCAACUAUCUCGACUUGGCAGGGAGAUUGCUACAACCACUAUUUUCUUGCACCUUCCUGUGUGGACUACACACACCUUUAAGAAUAAUGCACUUGAUGUAGACUUUUGGCAAGUUUCAAAGGAUGCCUGUGGUGUACUGGGAAUGCAUGAAUGCCAUAACGAUUCUUGGUUUGACAACGCCAAAUCUGGUCAGUGAAGGUAGCUGGAAAAAAUAAUUAUAUUUACCCAAAAAAAAAAAAAGUUGCUUUUCAUGCAAAAAAAUACUACUAAAUUGUAUUUAUCUUCUUCAACUGUUGAUGAUGGUGUUUGUGUUGAGUUCCCACAUCGGUGUGAUGUGGAUUAUUAGCCCUUUUUUUUCUUGGAAAUCCUCAUCUCAUGAGCUAGAUUUUGGGGUUGAGUUAGAUUUAAGGUUCAUUUCUUAGAAUUAUUUGUCUCCUUUUUACAUAUGGACUUAGGGCAAUUUUUAUUGCUUAAGCAAUGCUUUUGGGGUGGGGAUUUUCAUUUUUUAGUAAAAGGUGGAAUCAGCAACACGAACAAGAGUUGAACUUCAGUAUCAAUUCAAAGUAAGGCCUAAUUACUAGAGAAAUUUAUUGAAAGCAUUAUUGUCGGGACUCUUCUAACAAGCCAUAGCUAUAGUUUAGCUAAUUACGGCUCGUAGCUACUAAUUCCCUGUCAUAGGUUGUAUUUUGUUAUAUUCAAUUUGGUCAUUUUCAAUUUGUUGUACAAUUCGGUUGUAUUUAAACAACAAAAAUCCAAAAAAAUAUAGGGAUAGUCAUCUGUAUUAAAUUCAUUGUAUUCAUUCUUAGCUACUUUUACACUAUAUUCAAUUCGGUUUUAUGCAAAUAACAAAAGUUUCAAAAAGUACAGGAAUUUGCCGAAAAAAUCUCAUUUGAAAUAUAGAAAUAAAAACGAACAUAGAGAAAUAAUAUAUUGUAUUUAUUAUUUACACUCAAAAAUAAAGAAUACAGUCAAAUCCCACCAAAUCUGAGAAACAAGAAAUAAAAUACACUCAGAUCUGAGAAAUUCCGAUCGUUUGGCCAUGGAUUUUGGCCAGAGAUGAUGACGGCGGUGGAGGUGAUGAAGUCGAUCUGGGACUCGAGUUUUCCGACGGUUUCACCAACAAAGGCAGUGGGCCUUACGAUGAUGAGAAAAAAGCAAGAAAGAGGAAAGCAUAUGAUAUUGUUCGUGGUGGGAGCUCAUCAGACUUUGAAUUUCGCCGAAGUGGCUCGAGCAGGCUUGGAGAAGGAGACGGUCAGAUUUGAAGAAAUGAGGGAGAAUAAGGAGAAUUUGUUCUCGAUGUAUUUUUCUCUCUGGUGUAGUAUUUUCUUUAAAUAUAUAGUAUAGUUACGGUAGGUAAUUAGAUAUAGAGUAUAGCUAUGGUAGGUAAUUAAUUUAAAAUAUAGUUACGGUAGGUAAAUACCUCUUAGAUGUUAUCUACAACAUGUAAAAUUUUCUUAUAUUAAAAUAAGCCCAAGGCCUAAGAAACACAAACCCAAUACAAUUAACUAUUGAAAUGGCUUUUAUCCUACACAGAAUAAAAAAGGAAAAAUCACCCCUACAACUAAAUAAGACCUUAUAUUAUUGAAUAUAUAGGUUAACCCUAUUUACCAAAUAUAGUAAGGUUUUACAUUUUAUAACAGAUUGGGAAAAAGGUGUGCUUGUGUGUGUAAACCUUCUUUCUUUCUUCUAGCAAUUUAACACAAACUUGAUUUAUUUCAAUGAAUCUCAAUCCGGAAUAUCCAAAUUUUGAUGGUCUGUCAAUAGUGUGGCUUUGAAUUUCUUCAAAUUUCAGCUUCUAGAAACUCCAAUGUCAGCCAUUAAAGGACCUUAAAGCUCAAGUUCGAAAAAUGAAUUUGCCUCAAAUGAACUUCGUUUUGAGUGGGUGAUAUCUCAAAAGAAUAGGAACGCCAAGGAGAGCUUGAAUCUAGCAUUUGGGACUAUUUGGGUAAGAUUUGAGUUUAUUUUGGACUGAAUUUUAGUCGUAGUUUGUAGAAGUCCGAAGUUACAGUUGAAUUGUAUCAAAUUUGUAUUAAACUUGUAUUCUAUUUGUAUGACGAGUUGUAUGAAAAUUGCAUUAUAAGUUUGUAAAUUGUUGUAGUUGUAUUAAAUUUGUCUAAAUAUUGUAUAA